AGUGAACGCUGGCGGUAGGCCUAACACAUGCAAGUCGAACGGCAGCACAGUAAGAGCUUGCUCUUACGGGUGGCGAGUGGCGGACGGGUGAGGAAUACAUCGGAAUCUACUUUUUCGUGGGGGAUAACGUAGGGAAACUUACGCUAAUACCGCAUACGACCUACGGGUGAAAGCAGGUGAUCUUCGGACCUUGCGCGAUUGAAUUAGCCGAUGUCGGAUUAGCUAUUUUGCGGGGUAAAGGCCCACCAAGGCGACUAUCCUUAGAUGGUCUGAGAGGAUGAUCAGCAACACUGGAAAUGAGAAACGGUCAAGACUCCUAUGGGAGGCAGGAGUGGGGAAUAUUGGACAAUGGGCGCAAGCCUGAUCCAGCCAUACCGCGUGGGUGAAGAAGGCCUUCGGGUUGUAAAGCCCUUUUGUUGGGAAAGAAAAGCAGAAGGUUAAUACCCCGCUGUUCUGACGGUACCCAAAGAAUAAGCACCGGCUAACUUCGUG
rnacentral:rRNA from 1 species